GAUGAACGCUAGCGGCAGGCCUAAUACAUGCAAGACGAACGGUAACUUGAGUAGCAAUAUUUGAGCAAGAGUGUCGUAAGGGUGCGUAACACGUAUGCAAUCUGCCCUCAACAGGAGGAUAGCUCCCCGAAAGGGGAAUUAACACUCCAUAAGAUCAUGGUUCGGCAUCGGACAGUGAUUAAAACUACGGUGGUUGAGGAUGAGCAUGCGCAUGAUUAGUUAGUUGGCGGGGUAACGGCCCACCAAGACGAUGAUCAUUAGGGGAACUGAGAGGUUGAUCCCCCACACUGGCACUGAGAUACGGGCCAGACUCCUACGGGAGGCAG
rnacentral:rRNA from 1 species